rnacentral:tRNA from 1 species
UAUGGCAGAAUAGUGCAAUGAAUUUAAGAUUCAUAAAUAAAGAAGAAUCUUUUAUUAGAA